UGAGGAGCGAAAGCGUGGGGAGCGAACAGGAUUAGAUACCCUGGUAGUCCACGCCGUAAACGAUGAGUGCUAAGUGUUAGGGGGUUUCCGCCCCUUAGUGCUGCAGCUAACGCAUUAAGCACUCCGCCUGGGGAGUACGGUCGCAAGACUGAAACUCAAAGGAAUUGACGGGGGCCCGCACAAGCGGUGGAGCAUGUGGUUUAAUUCGAAGCAACGCGAAGAACCUUACCAGGUCUUGACAUCCUCUGACAAUCCUAGAGAUAGGACGUCCCCUUCGGGGGCAGAGUGACAGGUGGUGCAUGGUUGUCGUCAGCUCGUGUCGUGAGAUGUUGGGUUAAGUCCCGCAACGAGCGCAACCCUUGAUCUUAGUUGCCAGCAUUCAGUUGGGCACUCUAAGGUGACUGCCGGUGACAAACCGGAGGAAGGUGGGGAUGACGUCAAAUCAUCAUGCCCCUUAUGACCUGGGCUACACACGUGCUACAAUGGNCAGAACAAAGGGCAGCGAAACCGCGAGGUUAAGCCAAUCCCACAAAUCUGUUCUCAGUUCGGAUCGCAGUCUGCAACUCGACUGCGUGAAGCUGGAAUCGCUAGUAAUCGCGGAUCAGC
rnacentral:rRNA from 1 species